AAUAAUCCAAUGGACAAGACAAUUUCUAAAAGUUUAUUUAAGAGAGUGCAUGAUUUGCUGAGACAUGCAUAUAAACCGCGGAUUGUUACUACCUGAUGACGGAUGCUUUCCUAAUCGAAAGCCGGAUGGACCGAUAUCUCCAAACUUGAGACACGGAACAUUUCUGUGUAAAUCAGGGUGGUACCGCGGUAAAGUCGCCCCUAUU
rnacentral:ncRNA from 1 species